rnacentral:rRNA from 1 species
GAGUUUUGAUCAUGGCUCAGGAUGAACGCUAGCUACAGGCUUAACACAUGCAAGUCGAGGGGCAGCAUUUUAGUUUUGCUUGCAAACUAAAGAUGGCGACCGGCGCACGGGGUGAGUAACACGUAUCCAACCUGCCGAUAACUCGGGGGAUAGCCUUUUCGAAAGAAAGAUUAAUAUCCGAUGGUAUAUUAAAACCGCAUGGUUUUACUAUUAAAGAAUUUCGGUUAUCGAUGGGGAUGCGUUCCAUUAGUUUGUUGGCGGGGUAACGGCCCACCAAGACUACGAUGGAUAGGGGUUCUGAGAGGAAGGUCCCCCACAUUGGAACUGAGACACGGUCCAAACUCCUACGGGAGGCAGCA